AGCUCCAAUAGCGUAUAUUUAAGUUGCUGCAGUUAAAAAGCUCGAAGUUGAAUUUGAGUAGGAGAAGAUUAGUCAAGUUAUUAACUUUGUACUAGUCUGAAUCUAUACUUUUACCGCACGUAUAUCUUCGAAAAUACGUUUUCAUGAUAUAGUUUGUGCGGUAUCGUUACUGUGAGUAAAGUAAAAUGUUCAAAGUAGGCGGUCGCUAUGAAUAUAUUAGCAUGGAAUAACAUAAUAACACUCCAACCUAUUUUGCUGGCUCGUAGAAUUUGGAGUAAGAUUAAUAGGGACAGUUGGGGACAUUCGUAUUUCGUUAGAAAGAGGUGAAAUUUUUAGAUUGAUGAGAGACGAACUACUGCGAAGGCAUUUGUCAAGGAUGUUUUCA
rnacentral:rRNA from 1 species